rnacentral:rRNA from 1 species
UACGGAGGGUGCAAGCGUUAUCCGGAUUCACUGGGUUUAAAGGGUGCGUAGGUGGGUUGGUAAGUCAGUGGUGAAAUCUCCGAGCUUAACUUGGAAACUGCCAUUGAUACUAUCAGUCUUGAAUAUUGUGGAGGUCAGCGGAAUAUGUCAUGUAGCGGUGAAAUGCUUAGAUAUGACAUAGAACACCAAUUGCGAAGGCAGCUGGCUACUCAUAUAUUGGCACUGAGGCACGAAAGCGUGGGGAUCAAACAGG